rnacentral:lncRNA from 13 species
AUGCUUUCCAGGGAAUUAACGAAGAGUCAACUAAAAUACAUUUUGAUGGCUUUAAUUAUAAGUUUUACAAUGCAAAAAGUGACAAUUAUUUUGCAUGCCACGAGAGUUACCGGAUCCGUCCAAAUAGUUCCCGGAACGAAAAAACAGCCCACAACGGAGAGGUGCCAGGAUUCGGCUCAAAUUAAGCAUUUCAAUUGGUUUAAUAAUUGUGCAUUAUUUGGCAAUCAUUCAGCAAUCAUUUUUACAUGUCUUUGUUGUAAGGAAACAUGACACUAUCGCAAAUAUUCAGUUUCUCUGUUACUGUACACCCAACUAACGUACCAGCGAAAAACACCUGAUUACGCCACUAGAGGGCAGUACCGUAUUCAUAUCACAAUCAAAACAUUCACUCAGAAGUAAAUGGUAAAGGUCAUGUCAUUGGGGUCAGGUGAGUUUAAAACCCAAGUCUAGAAGAUUUACAAGAAUUUCAAUACAACAAAUAUACCCCUUGAUUUGGNNNNNNNNNNACUAGAGGGCAGUACCGUAUUCAUAUCACAAUCAAAACAUUCACUCAGAAGUAAAUGGUAAAGGUCAUGUCAUUGGGGUCAGGUGAGUUUAAAACCCAAGUCUAGAAGAUUUACAAGAAUUUCAAUACAACAAAUAUACCCCUUGAUUUGGAAGAAUAUGACUUUUGACUAAGUUUAGGCAAGGGUAGACAAUUCAUUUUAUUGAAGGGAACAGAUUGUGUAAUUCUGGGUAAUGGGCCAUAAAUCCACCUGCAUCAGGAGACUACGACUUGGUUCUGUCACCUGGCAUGACGAUACACCUCCGACAACGUAAAAAAAUGUGUUGCCUGAAACCUUUCUCGUUCAGUCUCUCCUUGUCUCUCUCCCUACGGCAGUCGGCAGGACUGGGAAGAGAAGUGACAAGGUAUCUCUCUAUACCUCCCAUCGGGUGGAGGUGGUGAUUUAUAGACGGCGUCGCUGGGGAAACCAACCACAUUUCAUUCUGAUCACGUCGGUCUGUUCGGCGGCGGAAUCCUCCCCGGGAGAGGUCCUGGUAAUGGGAAAACGUCUGCAUCGAUAUAUCUCCCCCGCGAGGCCAUUCGACC